rnacentral:rRNA from 1 species
AUUGAACGCUGGCGGCAGGCCUAACACAUGCAAGUCGAGCGGAUGAAGGGAGCUUGCUCCUGGAUUCAGCGGCGGACGGGUGAGUAAUGCCUAGGAAUCUGCCUGGUAGUGGGGGAUAACGUCCGGAAACGGGCGCUAAUACCGCAUACGUCCUGAGGGAGAAAGUGGGGGAUCUUCGGACCUCACGCUAUCAGAUGAGCCUAGGUCGGAUUAGCUAGUUGGUGGGGUAAAGGCCUACCAAGGCGACGAUCCGUAACUGGUCUGAGAGGAUGAUCAGUCACACUGGAACUGAGACACGGCCCAGACUCCUACGGGAGGCAGCAGUGGGGAAUAUUGGACAAUGGGCGAAAGCCUGAUCCAGCCAUGCCGCGUGUGUGAAGAAGGUCUUCGGAUUGUAAAGCACUUUAAGUUGGGAGGAAGGGCAGUAAGUUAAUACGUCGCUGUCUUGACGGUACCAACAGAAUAAGCACCGGCUAACUACGUG